UCUCCGUAGGUGAACCUGCGGAGGGAUCAUUACAAGUGACCCCGGUCUUACCACCGGGAUGUUCAUAACCCUUUGUUGUCCGACUCUGUUGCCUCCGGGGCGACCCUGCCUUCGGGCGGGGGCUCCGGGUGGACACUUCAAACUCUUGCGUAACUUUGCAGUCUGAGUAAACUUAUUAAUAAAUUAAAACUUUUAACAACGGAUCUCUUGGUUCUG
rnacentral:misc_RNA from 1 species